AGUCAUUGACAAUAGAUAUCGGGUUUACUCGAACAGAACUUUAGUGGAAACCGAGACAACAUCUAUCGCACAGUUUCAUUUUCUCACAAAAUUAGGUUCUCUAUUGUAUUCAUUGUGGCCAUGAACUAUUCUUGGUCUUCAUUAGUGAACUUAGAGAAUAUAGCCUUACAUUCAUUCUCCUAGAAACGGUCUCAUUUCACACUCAUUAAGUGAUUGACCAUGAAAAGUAUUGAGUAAUACUCCGCU
rnacentral:lncRNA from 1 species